rnacentral:lncRNA from 1 species
GAAAUUGAGCUAGAUCCAGGUGGUUUCAACUGAUUCUUCUUGCUUAAAGCUUCAUAGGAGGUGCAAAGGAGUAGAUCUGGAGUGGAUGAGUGCUUGAGGACGCGUAAACAGAAACUUCCAUUUCCAAGUGAGUUGAAAUUCGAACUCUCUUUUUGCUGUUUUAUGUACAUAGAUGUAUAGAUCUUGCUUCGUGGAGCUUGUGCAUGUGUUUAGAUUUGAAAAUAGUUGAGAAUU